CGUGAGGGAAAGGUGAAAAGAACCCCGGGAGGGGAGUGAAAUAGAACCUGAAACUGUGUGCUUACAAGCGGUCAGAGCUCUUCGGAGUGAUGGCGUGCCUUUUGGAGAAUGAUCCUGCGAGUUACGUUCAGUGGCGAGGUUAAGUAUAACGGAGCCGAAGGGAAACCGAGUCUGAAUAGGGCGACAUAGUCGCUGGGCGUAGACGCGAAACCUGGUGAUCUAAGCCUGUCCAGGGUGAAGCUGUGGUAAGACACAGUGGAGGCCCGAACUCACCGCCGUUGAAAAGUUGGGAGAUGAGGUAGGUUUAGGGGUGAAAAGCCAAUCGAACUAGGAGAUAGCUCGUUCUCUCCGAAAUGCAUUUAGGUGCAGCCUUGAGUGUUUAAUUAUGGGGGUAGAGCACUGAAUGAACUAGGGGGCAUAUUGCUUACUGAAUUCAAUCAAACUCCGAAUACCAUAAUUCAAAGCUCAGGAGUGAGACUAUGGGAAUUAACUUCCAUUGUCAAAAGGGAAACAACCCAGACCACCAGCUAAGGUCCCUAAUUAUAACUAAGUGGGAAAGGAGGUGGAGAUUCACAAACAACCAGGAGGUUGGCUUAGAAGCAGCCAUACCUUUAAAGAGUGCGUAAUAGCUCACUGGUCGAGAGUCUCUGCGCCGACAAUGUAACGGGGCUAAGUUAUAAACCGAAGCUGUGGAAUUGCGCAAGCAAUUGGUAGGAGAGCGUUCUGUAGGCCGUUGAAGGAGAAGCGCAAGCAACUCUGGAGGUAUCAGAAGUGAGAAUGCAGGAAUAAGUAGCGAGAAAGGGGGCGAGAAUCCCCCUCGCCGGAAGACCAAGGUUUUCAGGGUAAAGCUUGUCUUCCCUGAGUAAGCCGGGACCUAAGCCGAGGCUAAAAUGCGUAGGCGAAUGGAAAACAGAUUAAUAUUUCUGUGCCAGUUAUAUUUUGUGAAGGAGGGACGCAGAAGGGUAUGUGCGCGGGAGAACGGAAGUUCCCGUAGAAGCAUGUAGAGUGGUCUAGUAGGCAAAUCCGCUAGAUUAGACUUGAGGUGUGAUAUAUAGUCGUAAGAUGAAUGCACAAAUCCCACGCUGCCGAGAAAAGCUUCUAACGUUAAGGUAUAACUGCCCGUACCCGAAACCGACACAGGUGGUCAGGAUGAGAAAUCUAAGGCGGACAGGCUAACUCUCGUUAAGGAACUCUGCAAAAUAGCCCCGUAACUUUGGGAGAAGGGGUGCCCCUGAAUGUUAAUAUACACGCGAUAUGAAGCAUUUGGGGGUCGCAGUGAAGAGGCUCAAGCAACUGUUUAACAAAAACACAGGUCUAUGCUAAGCUGUAAGGCGAUGUAUAUGGGCUGACACCUGCCCAGUGCCGGAAGGUUAAGAGGAGGAGUGAGAGCUCCGAAUUGAAGCCCCGGUGAACGGCGGCCGUAACUAUAACGGUCCUAAGGUAGCGAAAUUCCUUGUCGGGUAAGUUCCGACCUGCACGAAUGGUGUAAUGAUUUGAGCGCUGUCUUGACGGGAGGCCUGGUGAAAUUGUACUACCGGUGAAGAUACCGGUUACCUACAGUAGGACGGAAAGACCCCAUGGAGCUUUACUGUAGCUUGGUAUUGGGUUUUGGCAUUGCAUGUAUAGGAUAGUUGGGAAACUAAGAAGGUAUGGCGCUAGCUGUAUUGGAGUUGUCGGUGGAAUACCAACCAUUCAAUGUUGAAAUUCUAAUCUGUGGUUUGUAGCCACGGAAACAGUGCUAGGUGGGCAGUUUGACUGGGGCGGUCGCCUCCGAAAGAGUAACGGAGGCGUUCAAAGGUUCUCUCAGGUUGGAUGGAAAUCAACCGCAGAGUGCAAUGGCAUAAGAGAGCUUAACUGCAAGACUGACGGGUCGAGCAGGUGCGAAAGCAGGACAUAGUGAUCCGGCGAUUCCGAAUGGAAGGGUCGUCGCUCAACGGAUAAAAGCUACCCUGGGGAUAACAGGCUGAUUUUGCCCGAGAGUCCAUAUCGACGGCAAAGUUUGGCACCUCGAUGUCGGCUCAUCGCAUCCUGGGGCUGGAGAAGGUCCCAAGGGUUGGGCUGUUCGCCCAUUAAAGCGGUACGUGAGCUGGGUUCAGAACGUCGUGAGACAGUUCGGUCCCUAUCCACUGUAGGCGUUAGAAUAUUGAGAAGAUCUGUCCUUAGUACGAGAGGACCGGGAUGGACAAACCUCUGAUGUACCAGUUGUCACGCCAGUGGCACAGCUGGGUAGUCACGUUUGGAACGGAUAACCGCUGAAAGCAUCUAAGCGGGAAACCAGCUUCAAGAUAAGUAUUCU
rnacentral:rRNA from 1 species